rnacentral:rRNA from 1 species
AGAGUUUGAUCCUGGCUCAGGAUGAACGCUAGCGGCAGGCCUAACACAUGCAAGUCGAGGGAGAAGCCUUCGGGCUGAAACCGGCGCACGGGUGCGUAACGCGUAUACAAUCUGCCUUUCACAUAGGGAUAGCCCGAAGAAAUUUGGAUUAAUACCUAAUGGUAUAUAGGAGCGGCAUCGUUUUUAUAUUAAAGCUACGGUGGUGAAAGAUGAGUAUGCGUUCUAUUAGCUAGUUGGAGAGGUAACGGCUCCCCAAGGCGACGAUAGAUAGGGGUUCUGAGAGGGAUAUCCCCCACACUGGUACUGAGAUACGGACCAGACUCCUACGGGAGGCAGCAGUGAGGAAUAUUGGACAAUGGUCGGAAGACUGAUCCAGCCAUGCCGCGUGCAGGAAGACGGCCUUAUGGGUUGUAAACUGCUUUUGCAGGGGAAGAAUAAGGACUACGCGUAGUUUGAUGACGGUACUCUGCGAAUAAGCAUCGGCUAACUCCGUGCCAGCAGCCGCGGUAAUACGGAGGAUGCGAGCGUUAUCCGGAAUCAUUGGGUUUAAAGGGUCCGUAGGCGGGCUAAUAAGUCAGAGGUGAAAGCGCUCAGCUCAACUGAGCAACUGCCUUUGAAACUGUUAGUCUUGAAUGGUUGUGAAGUAGUUGGAAUGUGUAGUGUAGCGGUGAAAUGCUUAGAUAUUACACAGAACACCGAUAGCGAAGGCAUAUUACUAACAAUUAAUUGACGCUGAUGGACGAAAGCGUGGGGAGCGAACAGGAUUAGAUACCCUGGUAGUCCACGCU